rnacentral:rRNA from 1 species
AUUGAACGCUGGCGGUAGGCCUAACACAUGCAAGUCGAACGAGUGGCGGACGGGUGAGUAAUGUCUGGGAAACUGCCCGAUGGAGGGGGAUAACUACUGGAAACGGUAGCUAAUACCGCAUACCAUCGGAUGUGCCCAGAUGAGAUUAGCUAGUAGGUGGGGUAACGGCUCACCUAGGCGACGAUCCCUAGCUGGUCUGAGAGGAUGACCAGCCACACUGGAACUGAUACACAGUACAGACUCCUACGGGAGGCAGAAGAGGGGAAUAUUGCACAAUGGGCGCAAGCGGGAUGCAGCCAUGCCGCGUGUAUGAAGAAGGCCUUCGGGUUGGAAAGUACUUUCAGCGAGGAGGCGUUACUCGCAGAAUAAGCACCGGCUAACUCCGUGCCAGCAGCCGCGGUAAUUC